rnacentral:rRNA from 1 species
AGAGUUUGAUCAUGGCUCAGGACGAACGCUGGCGGCGCGCUUAACACAUGCAAGUCGAGCGAGAACCAGCCCUUCGGGGCUGGGGAAAGCGGCGAACGGGUGAGUAACACGUGGGUAAUCUGCCCUCGGCACCGGAAUAGCCCGGGGAAACCCGGAUUAAUGCCGGAUAGCCUCUCCAGCCCUCGGGUUGGUGAGAAAAGGUAGCUUCGGCCUCUGGCCGAGGAGGAGCCCGCGGCGGAUUAGCUUGUUGGUGGGGUAACGGCCCACCAAGGCGACGAUCCGUAGCUGGUCUGAGAGGACGAUCAGCCACACUGGGACUGAGACACGGCCCAGACUCCUACGGGAGGCAGCAGUGGGGAAUCUUGCGCAAUGGGCGAAAGCCUGACGCAGCGACGCCGCGUGCGGGAAGAAGGCCUUCGGGUUGUAAACCGCUUUCAGGAGGGACGAAGCCACUCGGGUUAAUAGCCCAGAGGGUGACGGUACCUCCAGAAGAAGCCCCGGCUAACUACGUGCCAGCAGCCGCGGUAAUAC